rnacentral:rRNA from 1 species
GAUGAACGCUGGCGGCGUGCCUAAUACAUGCAAGUCGAGCGAACGGACGAGAAGCUUGCUUCUCUGAUGUUAGCGGCGGACGGGUGAGUAACACGUGGAUAACCUACCUAUAAGACUGGGAUAACUUCGGGAAACCGGAGCUAAUACCGGAUAAUAUUUUGAACCGCAUGGUUCAAAAGUGAAAGACGGUCUUGCUGUCACUUAUAGAUGGAUCCGCGCUGCAUUAGCUAGUUGGUAAGGUAACGGCUUACCAAGGCGACGAUGCAUAGCCGACCUGAGAGGGUGAUAGGCCACACUGGAACUGAGACACGGUCCAGACUCCUACGGGAGGCAGCAGUAGGGAAUCUUCCGCAAUGGGCGAAAGCCUGACGGAGCAACGCCGCGUGAGUGAUGAAGGUCUUCGGAUCGUAAAACUCUGUUAUUAGGGAAGAACAUAUGUGUAAGUAACUGUGCACAUCUUGACGGUACCUAAUCAGAAAGCCACGGCUAACUACGUG